rnacentral:rRNA from 1 species
CAGUCGCCGCGGGAAUACGGAGGGGGCUAGCGUUGUUCGGAAUUACUGGGCGUAAAGCGCACGUAGGCUGCUUUGUAAGUCAGAGGUGAAAGCCCGGGGCUCAACCCCGGAUGUGCCUUUGAGACUGCAGAGCUAGAACGUCGGAGAGGUGAGUGGAAUUCCGAGUGUAGAGGUGAAAUUCGUAGAUAUUCGGAAGAACACCAGUGGCGAAGGCGGCUCACUGGACGACUGUUGACGCUGAGGUGCGAAAGCGUGGGGAGCAAACAGGAUUAGAUACCCCUGUAGUCCCUGUCUCUUAUAC